GCAGCGCCGAUGAUGAGUUUAGAUUGUAGUACUAGGUUGAAUUCUGAUCGAAGAACCUUUUUCUGGGGUUUCCAACGAUGACCACCUGUGUUCCUCUCGAUUUGAGGCGCUGC
rnacentral:snoRNA from 1 species